ACGUAGGUGGCAAGCGUUACUCGGAAUCACUAGGCGUAAAGCGCAGGUAGGCGGUUUGGUAAGUCUUUUGUGAAAGCUCCUGGCUCAACUGGGAGAGGUCAAAGGAAACUACCAGGCUAGAGUGUGGUAGGGGAUACUGGAAUUCCUGGUGUAGCGGUGAAAUGCGUAGAUAUCAGGAGGAAUACCUAUGGCGAAAGCAGGUAUCUGGGCCAUCACUGACGCUGAGCUGCGAAAGCUAGGGGAGCAAACAGGAUUAGAUACCCUGGUAGUCCUAGCCCUAAACGAUGCUCAUUAGAUGUGGGAGGUAUCGACCCCUUCCGCGUCGCAGCUAACGCAUUAAAUGAGCCGCCUGGGGAGUACGGCCGCAAGGUUG
rnacentral:rRNA from 1 species